rnacentral:rRNA from 1 species
GUGUAGGAUAGGUGGGAGGCUUUGAAGUGUGGACGCCAGUCUGCAUGGAGCCGACCUUGAAAUACCACCCUUUAAUGUUUGAUGUUCUAACGUGGGCCCCUUACCGGGGUUGCGGACAGUGUCUGGUGGGUAGUUUGACUGGGGCGGUCUCCUCCUAAAGAGUAACGGAGGAGCACGAAGGUUGGCUAAUCCUGGUCGGACAUCAGGAGGUUAGUGCAAUGGCAUAAGCCAGCUUGACUGCGAGCGUGACGGCGCGAGCAGGUGCGAAAGCAGGUCAUAGUGAUCCGGUGGUUCUGAAUGGAAGGGCCAUCGCUCAACGGAUAAAAGGUACUCCGGGGAUAACAGGCUGAUACCGCCCAAGAGUUCAUAUCGACGGCGGUGUUUGGCACCUCGAUGUCGGCUCAUCACAUCCUGGGGCUGAAGUAGGUCCCAAGGGUAUGGCUGUUCGCCAUUUAAAGUGGUACGCGAGCUGGGUUUAGAACGUCGUGAGACAGUUCGGUCCCUAUCUGCCGUGGGCGCUGGAGAACUGAGGGGGGCUGCUCCUAGUACGAGAGGACCGGAGUGGACGCAUCACUGGUGUUCGGGUUGUCAUGCCAAUGGCACUGCCCGGUAGCUAAAUGCGGAAGAGAUAAGUGCUGAAAGCAUCUAAGCACGAAACUUGCCCCGAGAUGAGUUCUCCCUGACUCCUUGAGAGUCCUGAAGGAACGUUGAAGACGACGACGUUGAUAGGCCGGGUGUGUAAGCGCAGCGAUGCGUUGAGCUAACCGGUACUAAUGAACCGUGAGGCUUAACCUUACAACGCCGAAG